UGCAUUUUGUAGAGUUGGCAACGUCAGUUGUAUGAACACAAUCAGAAGAAAUCGUUAAAACAAGGGCUGAUUGGACAUUUUUAUUAAGAUCAGAAUGUGUUCGAUCGAUCUCGCCUCUCCAAAUUUUGCUAAAUUAAUUCACUUAGAUUUAAAAGGAGCAGCUCCAAAAUUAUCUUACUGUGAACAG